UGAACAUGUGUAAGAAUGUGUAGGAAACAGAAGAACCAACAUCAACAUAUUUAGGAUCAAGUAUUGACACUUUAGGCCAGUCACACUUACAAAUCUUGUUGUCCGAAUUAUAAAGUACAUGGACAUAAAAGAAAAAAUAGCAAAUAACAGUAAUGAAUUCGUCACUUCAACUAGGCUCCACAUUUUCAGAUCGGUGACUUUCAUUAUCCAUCGAACCUGCAUGCAGAAGCAAUAGAGUAGUAAGUUUCAUGACCAAAAUGACAUAAGUUGCAGCAACAAUACUAAAAAUAUAAAUAACAGAAUCACAAUGGAAGCUGUCCUUUAUCGAGGUACUGUGUCAUCAAUUGGCACUAUAGGAGCAUCUACAGUUUCUCCCCCUCUAUCUCUUCUCAUCCAAUUUUGUUUAUGAUGGGCAGUAUCAAAAAGCUCAAAGAAUUUGCUGACAUGAUAAGGUUCUGUUUCCACAUCAUUCCAUUCUUCACCAUCAAAAUUAUCUCGAGGUUUCAUCUUCAAAACAAUUGACCAUCCUGGAUAAGGUCAUCCACAUAGAACACUUAUGAACUCGAUUGGCAAAUGCAAAAGGUUCAUCCGGUCAUGUAGCUCCUUGGUGUAGCUAGCUAAGUUAGGUUCAGUUGCUUAAGGUGUCAAAACUACGGUAAAAUAGUACGAGCCAAAUAUAUCGGCGGUUCACUAAAACUGAGAAAGUUUCUGUUUUUAGAAACUGUAGUAUUCAUUGCCAACGCAUAAUAAUACCGAAGUUUUGGAAUGGGGCGGUAUUUUGAAAACUACUGCAUAUAAGUUUCAUGUAAUUUCGUCCAAAGCUUGCAGAUUCAGAGAUCUGGGGACGCGGGGAUGAGGUACCUCUCUGAGCUGAGCAGGGGAUGAGGAUUGGGGAGGACCGGAGGAUCAACAGCUGAGGAAGCAACCGCGGAGCGCACUAGAAGUGGGCGGCUCCGGCAGUCCGGUCAGCAGGGCGCGGUGGUGCGCCCAACUGCGCGCCUGCGCGGACAGCAGCCGGCCGGGCGCCAACCGAGGUAGGCAGCAGCAGAUAGCGGGUAUCAGCCUUCACGCCGGUCAG
rnacentral:lncRNA from 1 species